AUGGGUGGAUGUUGUUUGGCAAAUGAAAUAAUCACUCCUGUUCUGCUGUCAUCGAGGAGCUCACCCACCAUGUGCCAUGCCGAGCUUUUCAGAGAGGCCGCAGCAGGUGGGUCUGCGCCUCAAAAAUGCUGGGGUUCGCAUCAAUCUUGUGAUCAUCGCUCAAAACAAAAGGCCAUGCCAGUAUUUUUCAGCCAGCUCGUACUACUGUGCUCGCAGCAGCACUGUUCCCGAUCAUGUCAGCGGGAACUGAUAGUGUGGUGCGUUCUGGCAUUGGUUCAUGCACGAGAUGCUCCCAGUCUUUCUGAUGACCACGUACGUUCAUCAUAUACAUCAAUACAUGUACUACUUGUUUUCUUUUAA
rnacentral:rRNA from 1 species